rnacentral:rRNA from 1 species
GAUGAACGCUGGCGGCGUGCUUAACACAUGCAAGUCGAACGAAGCACCUCUCCCGAAGAUUGACACAGCUUGCUGUAGAUUGAUUCAUUUGAGGUGACUGAGUGGCGGACGGGUGAGUAACGCGUGGGUAACCUGCCUCAUAGAGGGGGACAACAGUUGGAAACGACUACUAAUACCGCAUAGUAAGAAGAAUUCGCAUGUUUUCUUCUUGAAAGAUUUAUCGCUAUGAGAUGGACCCGCGUCUGAUUAGCUAGUUGGUAAGGUAACGGCUUACCAAGGCGACGAUCAGUAGCCGGCUUGAGAGAGUGAACGGCCACAUUGGGACUGAGACACGGCCCAAACUCCUACGGGAGGCAGCAGUGGGGAAUAUUGCACAAUGGGGGAAACCCUGAUGCAGCGACGCCGCGUGAGUGAAGAAGUAUUUCGGUAUGUAAAGCUCUAUCAGCAGGGAAGAUAAUGACGGUACCUGACUAAGAAGCCCCGGCUAACUACGUG